CGUAUUUUGAGAAAACAGUUGGCUUAUACAUUUUCAUUUACUAAACUGUUAGAUGAUCUAGCACUACCCAGCUAAAUCCUGUUCUUAGUGGACAAUCCAUGUUUGGAUAGGACUCUCCAUAGAGAACAUGUUGUUUUAAUCUUGUCUUCCAGCCUCCAGGCUCCUGCAAUAUCUCAAAAUUUGAGUAACUGCACAGCAUUAUAAAGUUUGCUUUUUUAUUUUUAGGCUUUAACACUUCAGACCCCAGAGGAAAACCAAGUUACCAACCAAGGAGUCAAAGGAAAGAUGAUGAACCCGCUUCUUAUGUUCCUCGUGGGAGAGCAGCAGGAAGAAAAACAUAUUGCGAUUCUUCAGAACCUCGCAGGUCAGCGUAUGUUUUCUACCGCACUGUGGACGUCACCCGAGAACCAAAGUUCAGUGGAUCCACAGGGGAUGGUAAUACUUGUGCAGCACUUAACAAUGCAAAGAAAGGAGGAGAGAGUUCAGGAAGGAGAGUUCCAGCGGAGCGUAUUCCCAGAAGCAACUGGCGAUCCUUCGACAAUGGAGGAAUUCACUCUUCAGAUCCCAACGGAAAACCAAGUUACCAACAAAUGCGUAAAAAUAAGGAUGAUGAAACUGCUUCUGCUGUUCCUUAUGUGAGAGCUACCAGCAGAAAGACUGAUUCUGAUUCUUUGGAACCUCGAAGAUCAACAUAUGUUUUCUGCCGCACUGUGAAUGCC